rnacentral:rRNA from 1 species
GGUUGAUCCUGCCAGUAGUCAUAUGCUUGUCUCAAAGAUUAAGCCAUGCAUGUCUAAGUAUAAGCAACUAUACAGUGAAACUGCGAAUGGCUCAUUAAAUCAGUUAUCGUUUAUUUGAUAGUACCUUACUACUUGGAUAACCGUGGUAAUUUUAGAGCUAAUACAUGCUAAAAAUCCCGACCUCCGGAAGGGAUGUAUUUAUUAGAUAAAAAACCAAUGCCUUCGGGCUCCUUGGUGAUUCAUGAUAACUUAACGAAUCGC